rnacentral:rRNA from 1 species
AGCGAACGCUGGCGGCAGGCCUAACACAUGCAAGUCGAACGAACCUUUCGGGGUUAGUGGCGGACGGGUGAGUAACACGUGGGAACGUGCCUUUAGGUUCGGAAUAACUCAGGGAAACUUGUGCUAAUACCGAAUGUGCCCUUCGGGGGAAAGAUUAAUCGCCUUUAGAGCGGCCCGCGUCUGAUUAGCUAGUUGGUUGAGGUAAUGGCUCACCAAGGCGACGAUCAGUAGCUGGUCUGAGAGGAUGAUCAGCCACAUUGGGACUGAGACACGGCCCAAAACUCGACGGGGGGGAAGAGGGGGGAAAUUUGGGGAAUGGGGGAAAGCCUUACGCCGCCAUGGCGGGUGAAUGAUGAAGGUUUUAGGAUUGGAAAAUUCUUUCCCCGGGGGAGAAAAUGACGGUACCCGGAGAAGAAGCCCCGGCUAACUUCG